rnacentral:piRNA from 1 species
UCCCUGAGGUGAAGUUUGUGGAAGAGUGA